CUGCCUGCCCAAUGAAAUUUAAAUGGCCGCAGUAUUUUGACUGUGCAAAGGUAGCAUAAUCAUUAGUUUUUUAAUUAAAAACUUGUAUGAAGGGUUGGACGAGAUAAAAUCUGUCUUUAUUUAAUUUUAAUUAGAAUUUAACUUUUAAGUCAAAAGGCUUAAAUGUUCAUAAAAGACGAGAAGACCCUAUAGAUCUUUAUUUAGCUAGUAUUUUAAUAAUUUAAGAUUUGGUUAAUUUAAAAUUUUAGCUAAAUUUUAUUGGGGUAAUAUAAAGAUUAAUUUAAUUCUUUCUGUUAAAUUCAUUGAUUUAUGAAUAAAUGAUCCAUUAUUAUUGAUUAUAAGAUUAAGUUACCUUAGGGAUAACAGCGUAAUUUUUUUGGAGAGUUCUUAUCGAUAAAAAAGUUUGCGACCUCGAUGUUGGAUUAAAAAUUAUCUUGGGUGUAGAAGUUCAAGGUUUUGGUCUGUUCGACCAUUAAAUUUUUACAUGAUCUGAGUUCAGACCGGCGUGAGCCAGGUCGGUUUCUAUCUUUAUUUAAUUUAUAUAUUUUAGUACGAAAGGACCAUAUAUGUGAUAUAAUUAUAUUUUAUAAUUGAUUAUUAAUAUUACUUUGGCAGAAAAAGUGUAAUGAAUUUAGAAUUCAUAGAUGUAAUUAUAUUACAAGUAAUACUUGUAUUUAGGAGAUUUAUUAUUAAUGGUAGUAGGUAUAUUAAUCUUAGUUAUUUGUGUAUUGGUUGGAGUUGCUUUUUUAACCUUAU
rnacentral:rRNA from 1 species